rnacentral:tRNA from 1 species
CUUCCAAUUCAGAGAAACCCCGGAAUUAAAGGUUCAAGUCCCUCUAUCCCCAAUAAAAGCCUAUUUUUCUUACUAACUUUACUUCCUAACUACUUUUUCUAUUUUUUUAUCUAAAAAUUAAGGGGCUGGGUAAGAUUUUUUA